UCCGUUAUGGUGUAGUAACUAACAUUAUUGCCUCUCAUUUGGUAAAUCCCCGUGGAUGUACACGAUAGCCCAGGGUUCGAUUCCCUGUAACGGAA